GACGAACGCUGGCGGCGUGCCUAAUACAUGCAAGUAGAACGCUGAAGGAGGAGCUUGCUCUUCUGGAUGAGUUGCGAACGGGUGAGUAACGCGUAGGUAACCUGCCUGGUAGCGGGGGAUAACUAUUGGAAACGAUAGCUAAUACCGCAUAACAGUAGAUGUUGCAUGACAUUUGCUUAAAAGGUGCAAUUGCACCACUACCAGAUGGACCUGCGUUGUAUUAGCUAGUUGGUGGGGUAACGGCUCACCAAGGCGACGAUACAUAGCCGACCUGAGAGGGUGGUCGGCCACACUGGGACUGAGACACGGCCCAGACCCCUACGGGAGGCAGCAGUAGGGAAUCUUCGGCAAUGGACGGAAGUCUGACCGAGCAACGCCGCGUGAGUGAAGAAGGUUGUCGGAUCGUAAAGCUCUGUUGUAAGAGAAGAACGAGUGUGAGAGUGGAAAGUUCACACUGUGACGGUAUCUUACCAGAAAGGGACGGCUAACUACGUG
rnacentral:rRNA from 1 species